rnacentral:rRNA from 1 species
UACGGAGGGGGCUAGCGUUGUUCGGAAUUACUGGGCGUAAAGCGCACGUAGGCGGCUUUGUAAGUUAGAGGUGAAAGCCCAGGGCUUAACCCUGGAAUUGCCUUUAAGACUGCAUCGCUAGAAUCGUGGAGAGGUGAGUGGAAUUCCGAGUGUAGAGGUGAAAUUCGUAGAUAUUCGGAAGAAACACCAGUGGCGAAGGCGGCUCAC